rnacentral:rRNA from 1 species
GGAAUAUUGGUCAAUGGAGGCAACUCUGAACCAGCCAUGCCGCGUGCAGGAUGACUGCCCUAUGGGUUGUAAACUGCUUUUGUCAGGGAAUAAACCUUUCUACGUGUAGGAAGCUGAAUGUACCUGAAGAAUAAGGAUCGGCUAACUCCGUGCCAGCAGCCGCGGUAAUACGGAGGAUCCAAGCGUUAUCCGGAUUUAUUGGGUUUAAAGGGUGCGUAGGCGGUCCUAUAAGUCAGUGGUGAAAGACGGCAGCUUAACUGUCGCAGUGCCUUUGAUACUGUAGGACUUGAAUCUAUUUGAAGUGGGCGGAAUAAGACAAGUAGCGGUGAAAUGCAUAGAUAUGUCUUAGAACUCCGAUUGCGAAGGCAGCUCACUAAGUUAGUAUUGACGCUGAUGCACGAAAGCGUGGGGAUCAAACAGGAUUAGAUACCCUAG